rnacentral:lncRNA from 1 species
AAACAUUGAACGACUAUCCAGGUAACCAGAAGCCUUUGCCAUUUCUACAGUUUUGGAAGCUAUUUGUUCUGCACUUCCUGUUUAUUCAGGCUCUCGUUGGCCUGAGGAUAGAUUGAGGAAGUCCUGGGUAUCCUCCUGUUUCCACCUCUCCAGCCCUGGGAUUACAGAUGUACUACCAUGCCCUGCUUUUCAUAUGGGUUCUGGGGAUGGAACUCAGUAAGUACUCACAGAAGGAUUUGGGCGGCUACCUCCUACUUGCCCAAAUCCCCAGCUGUCACUCAUAGCUGCUGGUUCUGGCCCUGGAACCUUGGAGACACUGGCAUCAUGGCAAUUAAAUCCAUAAGGGCAACUGCCACAAUAAUAAUAAUGAUGACAGCUAGCACUUACUAAACACUCACUAUGUGCAAGGCGUUCUCUGGGCUUUCCAUGCAAUAAUAGUCCGACUAAUCCUCCCAGCAGCCUCUGAAAUCUAUGUUACUAUUUUUUUCCAAUUAAAAAAAUAAAUAUCUGCAUCCGGGUGUGGUGGCUUGCACCUGUAGUCCUGGCUAUGCUGGAGACCAAAACAGAUGGAUAACCAGAGCUCAGAAACUGGAAACCAGUCUGGAAAAACUAGCAGUGGAGACUCCUCCAACUCCAAACAAGAACAACAAAAAUGGUUUAAGUAUCGAUUUUAUUCAGAGUUAGCUGGUAGUUUCUUUCCUCUUUGUUGAUAGCACAGAACUCUUGUUUCUCUUCAUUCACAUUGUUUUAUCUUCAUUCCAUACCACCUUUAUCAUUGUGUAUCUUUCGCAACUACCCUUAUUAGUGUAUCUCUCGAAGUAUUGUUUUUAUUAGCCUUAACUACUUAUCUUCAUCACUGUGUAUGUUUUCCUACUAUUUUUUUUCUUUAAUUAAGAUGUGGGCUUGGCAUGUAGCUUAGUUGGUAGAAUGUUUGCCUGUCAUCCUGCUGGGAACAAGCAAAAUAAACGUAUUCUUAGGACUACUUACUACUUCAUUUUCAGACUCCAUUUAAUCAUCGGGAGGAGCUAAAUUCAAGGUCCCAGGACCUUGGGGAUCUGGGGACUUCCCAAUAGCUGAACACUUCUGUUAUAAACAGUUAACUGUCUGAGUUCAAACAUCUCAGGGACAGACAACUUCUUCUACCUGGCAGCAUCAAACAAGUUCAUGUUCCCAGGCCUAGGAAGGAACAACUAUCCCACUUCUCCAAGUGUUUUCUUAAUUGUCUGCUAAUGGGUAAAUACAGAAAUUGUGGUGAGAGAACGACAUAAGCUCCAUUUUAGGACCAGGCCUGACUUCAAAAAGAAAGUCAUCCGUUCUAGGAACUGACCAUAAAAUCCUCCUAAGUCAUCCAUUCCAAAAAAUGAUUGUGACUUCCUCCCCCCAAGUCAUCAGUCCCAAGAACUAGGUCAUAAAAUCCCCCAUCCAAAGAACAGCCUGGUGAAAUAUCUUAUCUCAGGAUGGGCCAUCUGCGCCGGGCAUCAUGGCUAAAUGUUCAUGAUACAGGAAUGCAGUCCAUCGAUCACCUGGACAUGAGCUAAUCAAAAAACCAACCCAUGUAACAUACCUGGCACCCAUCAAUAAAGAUUACCUAACCCUAGCUAAAAUUCUCCUAGCUCCCUAUAAAAAGCCCUGUGCACUCCUGUCUGAGGUCGUAGCCAUUUUUGUAAGUGGCCCAUCCUGCAUGCAAGCUUCUUGUUUUCGUGAAAUAAAAACACUCUUGCCAAUUUCACAUGGGAGUGGUGGUCUCCACGCAGUACUUUUGAGCUUAACAGUGGUUAUCUAAACCCAGGGGCAUACAUUGUAUAAAUACAUAAGCAAUUGGCUGUUAUGCCCUAAUUAAGUACAUGAAGCUGACCAGGUCCUUUGUCAUCUUGCCCCUCUAAUUUUGGUGUGAAACUUUGUUUCUGUCCACAUGUUCCCUCAUCAGCCUGUCUCUCACUGUACUUUGAAACCCUCGGUCAAAGUUCUUCCUCAGCCUCAUCUCCUUUAGACCUCAUCUUGCAGCAUUUCCAGAAGAAAGCCAGAAUUUGGUUGCCCUGAUAGGACAUCUGGCUCUCUUCCCUCUCUUCCCCAACUCUACUGGUUAUGCUUGGUAUGCCAGUCUGUCUGUGUUUGUCAAUUUAUGUCUGCAAUUUUAAUUGCUUGAUUGUUGCUCUUUGUUUCCUAUUCAGAAGAAAGAAUCAAACUUCAUCUGCUGGCCAUUCACCCAAUUGACUUAGUUUUAAUUCAUUUCAAGUAUUUUCAGGAAAAAAAAAGGAGGGGUGAAUUGGGACAACAAAAAUGGAUAAACUGACUCUGCUCAUGUAGCCCCUGCACAGGAAGCUAGUGAGCCCUGCUGGAGAAGCCCUGCCUCUGACUGGAUCAGUUGGGCUCAGCAGAUGACAAGGAUCUCCUCCCUUGAAAUUACAGCUGGAGGUAGUACGGAAAGUUUGUCUGUGUGUUUUAUAUGUUUAAAUGUAUGUGGCCAUUGCAUAUUUGUGUCUGACUGGUCUUCAAUAUAUAGAUUUACUAUGGUGUGUGUGUGUGUGUCUGUGUGUCUGUGUGUAAAAUCUCU